GGCUCGGUAGCGGGGGGCCACAUCUGCUUUCCAUUAACUGUGUGGUCAUUGUUGAUGCAGAUGAUGCCUGUUCAACUCGGGCCUGAGCCA